rnacentral:rRNA from 1 species
GACGAACGCUGGCGGCGUGCUUAACACAUGCAAGUCGAACGGAAAGGCCCUGCUUUUGUGGGGUGCUCGAGUGGCGAACGGGUGAGUAACACGUGAGUAACCUGCCCUUGACUUUGGGAUAACUUCAGGAAACUGGGGCUAAUACCGGAUAGGAGCUCCUGCUGCAUGGUGGGGGUUGGAAAGUUUCGGCGGUUGGGGAUGGACUCGCGGCUUAUCAGCUUGUUGGUGGGGUAGUGGCUUACCAAGGCUUUGACGGGUAGCCGGCCUGAGAGGGUGACCGGCCACAUUGGGAGUGAGAUACGGCCGAGACUCCUACGGGAGGAAGGAGUGGGGAAUAUUGCACAAUGGGCGGAAGCCUGAUGCAGCAACGCCGCGUGCGGGAUGACGGCCUUCGGGUUGUAACCCGCUUUCGCCUGUGACGAAGCGUGAGUGACGGUAAUGGGUAAAGAGGCACCGGCUAACUACGUG